rnacentral:rRNA from 1 species
GACGAACGCUGGCGGCGUGCCUAAUACAUGCAAGUCGAGCGGACCGAACAGGAGCUUGCUCUUGUUCGGUUAGCGGCGGACGGGUGAGUAACACGUGGGUAACCUGCCCGUAAGACCGGGAUAACUCCGGGAAACCGGAGCUAAUACCGGAUAACACCGAAGACCGCAUGGUCUUUGGUUGAAAGGCGGCUUCGGCUGCCACUUACGGAUGGGCCCGCGGCGCAUUAGCUAGUUGGUGAGGUAACGGCUCACCAAGGCGACGAUGCGUAGCCGGCCUGAGAGGGUGACCGGCCACACUGGGACUGAGACACGGCCCAGACUCCUACGGGAGGCAGCAGUAGGGAAUCUUCCGCAAUGGACGAAAGUCUGGCGGAGCGACGCCGCGUGAGCGAAGAAGGUCUUCGGAUCGGAAAGCUCUGUUGUUAGGGAAGAAGAAGCGUCGUUCGAACAGGGCGGCGCGGUGACGGUACCUAACGAGAAAGCCCCGGCUAACUACGUG